rnacentral:rRNA from 1 species
UACAGAGGUCUCAAGCGUUGUUCGGAUUCAUUGGGCGUAAAGGGUGCGUAGGCGGCGCGGUAAGUCGGGUGUGAAAUCUUGGAGCUUAACUCCGAAACUGCAUUCGAUACUGCCGUGCUUGAGGACUGGAGAGGAGACUGGAAUUUACGGUGAGCGGUGAAAUGCGUAGAUAUCGUAAGGAAGACCAGUGGCGAAGGCGGGUCUCUG